UACGGGGGGGGCAAGCGUUGUUCGGAAUUACUGGGCGUAAAGGGCUCGUAGGCGGCCAACUAAGUCAUACGUGAAAUCCCUCGGCUUAACCGGGGAACUGCGUCUGAUACUGGAUGGCUUGAGUUCGGGAGAGGGAUGCGGAAUUCCAGGUGUAGCGGUGAAAUGCGUAGAUAUCAGGAGGAACACCUGCGGUGUAGACGGCUUACUGGACCAUAACUGACGCUGAGGCACGAAAGCGUGGGUAGCAAACAGG
rnacentral:rRNA from 1 species